rnacentral:Y_RNA from 1 species
GGCUGGUCCAAUGGUCGUGGGUUAUCAGAACUUAUUAACAUUAGUGUCACUAAAGUUGGUCUUCAACCCCCCACUGCUAAAUUUGACUGGCUAAAA